rnacentral:snRNA from 1 species
AAACCCAACAAGUUUAUGGAC